AUUGAACGCUGGCGGCAGGCCUAACACAUGCAAGUCGAGCGGCAGCGGGAAAGUAGCUUGCUACUUUUGCCGGCGAGCGGCGGACGGGUGAGUAAUGCCUGGGAAAUUGCCCAGUCGAGGGGGAUAACAGUUGGAAACGACUGCUAAUACCGCAUACGCCCUACGGGGGAAAGCAGGGGACCUUCGGGCCUUGCGCGAUUGGAUAUGCCCAGGUGGGAUUAGCUAGUUGGUGAGGUAAUGGCUCACCAAGGCGACGAUCCCUAGCUGGUCUGGGAGGAUGAUCAGCCACACUGGAACUGAGACACGGUCCAGACUCCUACGGGAGGCAGCAGUGGGGAAUAUUGCACAAUGGGGGAAACCCUGAUGCAGCCAUGCCGCGUGUGUGAAGAAGGCCUUCGGGUUGUAAAGCACUUUCAGCGAGGAGGAAAGGUUGAUGCCUAAUACGUAUCAACUGUGACGUUACUCGCAGAAGAAGCACCGGCUAACUCCGUGCCAGCAGCCCCGCGGUAAAAC
rnacentral:rRNA from 1 species